rfam:Danio rerio chromosome 17, GRCz11 reference primary assembly.
GACGAGGUGGCUGAGUGGCUAGGGUAAAAGACUGCUAAUCCCUGGUGCGCUGCUCGCGCGGGUUUGAGUCCCAUCCUUGUUG